rnacentral:rRNA from 1 species
AUUGAACGCUGGCGGCAGGCCUAACACAUGCAAGUCGAGCGAGCGGCGGACGGGAGAGUCAUGUCUGGGAAUUGCCCUGUCGAGGGGGAUAACAGUUGGAAACGACUGCAAAUACCGCAUACGAUUGGAAUGCCCAGGUGGGAUUGGCUAGUUGGUGGGGUAAUGGCUUACCAAGGGGAAGAGCCCUAGCUGGUCUGAUAGGAUGAUCAGCCACACUGGAACUGAGACACGGUCCAGACUCCUACGGGAGGCAGCAGUGGGGAAUAUUGCACAAGGGGGGAAACCCUGAUGCAGCCAUGCCGCGUGUGUGAAGAAGGCCUUCGGGUUGUAAAGCACUUUCAGCGAGGAGGCGUUACUCGCAGAAGAAGCACCGGCUAACUCCGUGCCAGCAGCCGCGGUAAUUC